GAUUAUGCUGGAGGAGAAGAAGGGGAGCAUAGGACAUUAUUACCUGAUGGGGAGCCCAAUGCGAGGUGGAGCGUCGGGAGCCAGGUGAAGUUCAAAGUGAGGUGGAGCUCCAAGUGGGGGCAGAUCGGGUAUGAGACAAGAGACUCGGGAGGACGAGAGGCAACGUCGCAAGGUGAGAUUCCUAUUGCCAUAGGAUGAUGCCUCGAGCAG
rnacentral:lncRNA from 1 species